rnacentral:rRNA from 1 species
GACGAACGCUGGCGGCGUGCUUAACACAUGCGAGUCGAACGGAAAGGCCUCUUUCGGGGGGUACUCGAGUGGCGAACGGGUGAGUAACACGUGAGUAACCUGCCCUUGACUUUGGGAUAACUUCAGGAAACUGGGGCUAAUACCGGAUAGGAGCUCCUGCUGCAUGGUGGGGGUUGGAAAGUUUCGGCGGUUGGGGAUGGACUCGCGGCUUAUCAGCUUGUUGGUGGGGUAGUGGCUUACCAAGGCUUUGGCGGGUAGCCGGCCUGGGAGGGUGACCGGCCACAAUUGGACUGAGAUACGGCCCAGACUCCUACGGGAGGCAGCAGUGGGGAAUAUUGCACAAUGGGUGGGAGCCUGAUGCAGCAACGCCGUGUGCGGGAUGACGGCCUUCGGGUUGUAAACCGCUUUCGCUCAUGACGAAGCUUUGUGUGACGGUAGUGGGUAAAGAAGCACCGGCUAACUACGUG